rnacentral:rRNA from 1 species
GACGGGGACCCGCACAAGCGUGGAUGAUGUGGAUUAAUUCGAUGCAACGCGAAAACCUUUACCUACCCUUGACAUGUCCGGAAUCCCGAAGAGAUUUUGGGAGUGCUCGCAAGAGAACCGGAACACAGGUGCUGCAUGGCUGUCGUCAGCUCGUGUCGUGAGAUGUUGGGUUAAGUCCCGCAACGAGCGCAACCCUUGUCAUUAGUUGCCAUCAUUUGGUUGGGCACUCUAAUGAGACUGCCGGUGACAAACCGGAGGAAGGUGGGGAUGACGUCAAGUCCUCAUGGCCCUUAUGGGUAGGGCUUCACACGUCAUACAAUGGUCGGUACAGAGGGUUGCCAACCCGCGAGGGGGAGCUAAUCCCACAAAGCCGAUCGUAGUCCGGAUCGCAGUCUGCAACUCGACUGCGUGAAGUCGGAAUCGCUAGUAAUCGUGGAUCAGCAUGUCACGGUGAAUACGUUCCCGGGUCUU